UACGGAGGUUGCGAGCGUUGUUCGGAAUCACUGGGCGUAAAGCGCGUGUAGGCGGCCUUCUAAGUCUGGUGUGAAAGCCCUGGGCUCAACCCAGGAAGUGCACUGGAUACUGGAUGGCUGGAGUACCGGAGAGGAGGGUGGAAUUCCUGGUGUAGCGGUGAAAUGCGUAGAUAUCAGGAGGAACACCGGUGGCGAAGGCGUCCCUCUGGCCGGAUACUGACGCUGAGACGCGAAAGCGUGGGGAGCAAACAGG
rnacentral:rRNA from 1 species